UUGCUUUUUAGUUAGCGGCGGACGGGUGAGUACACGUGGGCAACCUGCCUGUAAGACUGGGAUAACUUCGGGAAACCGGAGCUAAUACCGGAUAAUUCUUUCCUACUCAUGUAGGGAAGCUGAAAGACGGUUUACGCUGUCACUUACAGAUGGGCCCGCGGCGCAUUAGCUAGUUGGUGAGGUAACGGCUCACCAAGGCGACGAUGCGUAGCCGACCUGAGAGGGUGAUCGGCCACACUGGGACUGAGACACGGCCCAGACUCCUACGGGAGGCAGCAGUAGGGAAUCUUCCGCAAUGGACGAAAGUCUGACGGAGCAACGCCGCGUGAGUGAUGAAGGUUUUCGGAUCGUAAAACUCUGUUGUUAGGGAAGAACAAGUACGAGAGUAACUGCUCGUACCUUGACGGUACCUAACCAGAAAGCCACGGCUAACUACGUGCCAGCAGCCGCGGUAAUACGUAGGUGGCAAGCGUUGUCCGGAAUUAUUGGGCGUAAAGCGCGCGCAGGCGGUCCUUUAAGUCUGAUGUGAAAGCCCACGGCUCAACCGUGGAGGGUCAU
rnacentral:rRNA from 1 species